AUUGAACGCUGGCGGCAUGCCUUACACAUGCAAGUCGAACGGUAACGGGCCUUCGGGUGCCGACGAGUGGCGAACGGGUGAGUAAUGCAUCGGAACGUACCUUUCAGUGGGGGAUAACGUAGCGAAAGUUACGCUAAUACCGCAUAUUCUGUGGGCAGGAAAGCAGGGGAUCGCAAGACCUUGCGCUGAUUGAGCGGCCGAUGUCAGAUUAGCUAGUUGGUGAGGUAAAGGCUCACCAGGGCGACGAGCUGUAGCGGGUCUGAGAGGAUGAUCCGCCACACUGGAACUGAGACACGGUCCAGACUCCUACGGGAGGCAGCAGUGGGGAAUUUUGGACAAUGGGGGCAACCCUGAUCCAGCCAUGCCGCGUGAGUGAAGAAGGCCUUCGGGUUGUAAAGCCCUUUCGGCCGGGAAGAAACCGUAUGGGCUAAUACCCUGUGCGGAUGACGGUACCGGCAUAAGAAGCACCGGCUAACUACGUGCCAGCCGCCGCGGUAAGAC
rnacentral:rRNA from 1 species